rnacentral:tmRNA from 1 species
GGGGAUGCCUGGUUUCGACAGGUUGUACAUUUAAAAUAUGCAAGCCGAAAGUUGAUAAGUCUUUCGUAAAAAACCUCAUCAAAGUUAUAAGUGCAAACUUACUAACAAAAGCAAAAAGUGCAUUUGCGCAAGCAUUUACAUUCAACUUUGCUCCUGCUCUUGCCUAAUACCGGUCUUUACCGGUUAGGGCAUUAGCCAUCGAACUUAUUUUCGCCCAAGAUAUAAAAUUCGGUGUCAAAUUAUUGGGCUAGCUUUUGAAAUUUUUUUUGGCGGUCAAAAGUGAAAGUUAUGCCGAGAAUAAAUUAAGAAUUUUUUUCUAUCUUUAUUUCUUAAUCGAAUCCGCCUUUGGCGGAAAUCAGAUAGAAUAAGCUUGUAGUAUAUUUUGAAUGAAUAAUUUUGGACAUGGGUUCAACUCCCAUCAUCUCCACUA